UGCUAUUGUUGAUGGCGACCGGCGCACGGGUGAGUAACGCGUAUCCAACCUGCCCUUGUCCAUCGGAUAACCCGUCGAAAGGCGGCCUAACACGAUAUGCAGUCCACAGAAGGCAUCUGACGCGGACGAAAUGUGAAGGAGAAGGAUGGGGAUGCGUCUGAUUAGCUUGUUGGCGGGGUAACGGCCCACCAAGGCGACGAUCAGUAGGGGUUCUGAGAGGAAGGUCCCCCACAUUGGAACUGAGACACGGUCCAAACUCCUACGGGAGGCAGCAGUGAGGAAUAUUGGUCAAUGGGCGAGAGCCUGAACCAGCCAAGUAGCGUGCAGGAAGACGGCCCUAUGGGUUGUAAACUGCUUUUAUGCGGGGAUAAAGUGAGCCACGUGUGGCUUAUUGCAGGUACCGCAUGAAUAAGGACCGGCUAAUUCCGUGCCAGCAGCCGCGGUAAUACGGAAGGUCCGGGCGUUAUCCGGAUUUAUUGGGUUUAAAGGGAGCGUAGGCCGUCUGAUAAGCGUGUUGUGAAAUGUCGGGGCUCAACCUGGGCAUUGCAGCGCGAACUGUCAGACUUGAGUGCGCGGGAAGUAGGCGGAAUUCGUCGUGUAGCCGGUGAAAUGCUUAGAUAUGACGAAGAACUCCGAUUGCGAAGGCAGCCUGCUGUAGCGCAACUGACGCUGAAGC
rnacentral:rRNA from 1 species